AGCCGCAGGGAAACCGAGUCUUAACCGGGCGUUAAGUUGCAGGGUAUAGACCCGAAACCCGGUGAUCUAGCCAUGGGCAGGUUGAAGGUUGGGUAACACUAACUGGAGGACCGAACCGACUAAUGUUGAAAAAUUAGCGGAUGACCUGUGGCUGGGGGUGAAAGGCCAAUCAAACCGGGAGAUAGCUGGUUCUCCCCGAAAGCUAUUUAGGUAGCGCCUCGUGAAUUCAUCUCCGGGGGUAGAGCACUGUUUCGGCUAGGGGGCCAUCCCGGCUUACCAACCCGAUGCAAACUGCGAAUACCGGAGAAUGUUAUCACGGGAGACACACGGCGGGUGCUAACGUCCGUCGUGAAGAGGGAAACAACCCAGACCGCCAGCUAAGGUCCCAAAGUCAUGGUUAAGUGGGAAACGAUGUGGGAAGGCCCAGACAGCCAGGAUGUUGGCUUAGAAGCAGCCAUCAUUUAAAGAAAGCGUAAUAGCUCACUGGUCGAGUCGGCCUGCGCGGAAGAUGUAACGGGGCUAAACCAU
rnacentral:rRNA from 1 species